AAGUAAUACGAAGUUCAUCAAAAGUCCAUGGCACUGUGAAAAGUUGGGGUCACAGUAACUGUGAUGUUGUCAUUCUAACUUUCAUUGUGCUAUGGAUUUCUGAUGACCAAUAAAGCAUAUCGUUGGAUAAG